CUNAACGUGCAACCUCAUGGUUCCUAGCGGAUUCGUUUCCACUGCACCACGACAGGAACUCCUGCAGUUUUGUAUUCUUAACUGACUGUGCUACAGUGGGAGCUCCCAAGAAUUAUUUAUUAGUACCUAAAUUACACAUAUAAGAAUUGGGUUUAAACAUAGGUCUCAUAGUGUGGAAAUCCACCCUAUGGAUUGGUAGAAAGGACUUCCAAAUAUUACUUCCUCUUCAGUUUCUUUUCUCCCCCACUUCUUUUUAUUGUAGUUUUUCCCUUUUUCCUUAUCUCCUAUUUUUUUUUUCCAGUUCUCUGGAAAAUGAAAAGUGAUCUUGAAGGGGAGAAGAUUAAAUUCUUUCAAUUCCUCAGAAAAAAAGAGGCUAUAAAACCACAAUGUAAUAAUGCUAACAAUAAAAAUAAUAUGUAGUCAAAUCUGGAAGCAGUGUAAACAGACCUAGCUUGGCUCUGGUUUUGGUGUGGCUGAUGAAAGCCUACAAGUUUUUCAUUGAUUUUCAGGCUACAGAAUGCAAUUCAGGUUUAAGGAAUCCCUGCAGUUUAGUAAAAUUGUUGGGAGCUGGUGGGGAGGGGCUUUUGCAAAUAUUUUUCUCCCAUGUCUUUGUCAGUUUGAAAUAAUAUGAAGGUUUAUUAAGUAAUAGAUUAAAAAUGUGUUCAACUGUGAAUGAUGUAUUGGCUGAGAUUAAUACUAUACAUAUAAAGUAUUGAGUGUUGUAGAGACUGACUAUGGUAAGGAUGUGGGCUAUGUGUAACUGAGACUACUGAGAGUGACUAGGAGGCAUUUGGAUAGAUGUCCUGCCAGUUCCUGGAAUGUGGCUUCUGUCUAAUUUACACAGCAGGCUCUUUAAAGGAGGACUCUGUAGGGUAGAUACUCUGCCAACUCUCUGUAAGUAAUGAAUGGUCCUCCAUAGAGAAGAGGACUCUGAGGGCUCUGAGACCACCAGACAGUACCCACUGCUACCUCCACUCCUAUCCACCUGUCUACCUAUCUGUCUGCCUAUCUAUCUAUCUAUCUAUCUAUCUAUCUAUCUAUCUAUCUAUCAUCUAUCUAUUCAUCCAGCUGUGAUCUUGGAAUCAAUUGAAUUCAAAGAGGCGGUUGUAGAAAUUAUCAAGAAUCCGCACUAAGUGAGGGACCACCAGUGUCUCAAUCCACAUUAAGGACAAACUGUGAAAUGUCUUUGGAUAUAGUUAAUCUCAGCGGAAUGUUAUAUCCAUAGUUUAGUGGAGAAAUCACACAUUUGUAAAUUGAGAAAGUCCCCAUUAAAGCUAUCUGACUUUACUGAGAAGAACAAUCUCGGAAAUUAUACUGAGAAUGAGCAAUAGUAUACAUAUUUAAAUCUCUCAAGACCGUGGUUAUGCAGAGAAGAGCAGCAACAGCCUAUUGUACCCAUAAUCUGUGCAUUAAAGAGCCCCGAAGUGCACAUUUACACAGCAGACCAUGGCCUGACUUCAGUGGCAAUGAGCUGUGGAUUGAAUGCUCAUUGAGAGCUACCAGGCACUUCCCCUUACUUGGUAGUAAUAGCUCCAGUGGAACCCUUUCACACUUAGGACCCUGGUGUAACAAGCAAGAUGAAAUGAAUGCAUAUCUGCCUUUACUUUGACAAAAUUGUUGUUUUUUUUUUUUUCCUUUAAAAAGGCUCAUUUCCAUUGGCAUUGACCUAAUGCAAGAAUUCCCAGAAAUAUAAAUUGAAAAGGAGAGUUUAAAUCUAUACUAACAAUGCUAUUCAGAAUUUAGUCAUGUUGUAAUAUACCAUAUAUCAUUAUUGUCAAAUAUUGCUUUGGUCUGCAGACAUAAUUAAUAUAAGCUAGCCACUAAUAGUGUCAUAUAUAAUCCGAAACCGUUAGUAUAACAAAAGCCAACUAAUAUUUAUCUCUAAUGUGAUAUAAUCUUUACUCACAUCACAAAGCAUCAACAAAGGGUAUAUUCUUUAAUGCUACAUUCCCAAGGGUUUACUUGAACUUUUUUCUGGUUUAAUUAGCUUAUUCGUUUUAAUUACAGUGCAACAUUUAUGUGGUGUUUAAUCUGAAAGUUAAUCCUGUUUUCUUAAAAGAUUAAGUACAGUAAUAAAUAUAAAAUAAUGGUGGCUGUAUCUUAUAGGAUUGGUACUUUGCCUACAUGAAUGACUUGUGCUGGAAAUAGCAGAAAUAGAUUUGCUCCAGUAUUCUUUUGUUAAAACAUUAAUGCAACAAAAAUAGCUUUCCAACCAAUUAAGAGUGUCCAUAAACCCCAGAUUCCCAUUCUGCCUCCUGACUCAGGAAUUUUCAUGUCUUAUGGAUUUGAGGUGGAACCCCCAAGACCUGCUGCAGUGAUUUCACUGCCUGUAUUCAUGUGUUUAUGGACCACAGCCCUCCCUAGAAUUUUCUCUUCUCUUGACUAGGGAGUCUGACUUUUUCCUAGAGACAGGCAUGCUUGUCAACCAGCAUUCUUCUUUAGCCUAACUCUUGCUUUUGUCUUUGGUAAUUCAUUGUCCAUGUGGGCAACCUGUACAUUAGGUACUCCAUCCCUCAGUUCCUUGACCUCCACAUUGAUGAUGACUUUCUUUUCCAUCUUACUUAGCCACUCACUUUCAUGGUUACAUUCUAGACUUAUUUCCAGAGACUACAUUGCCCUGAAGUCGCCUACUCAAAUAUGCCACUCUUCAACUCCUUCUCCCUUUCUUCCCUGCUUUCACUCAGCAGUACUUCAUUAAGAUCUCUAGUCCAUCAACUUCUCCAUUGUCAAUCACAUUCAUGUUAUCAAAUUUAAUUGACACUUUUUGGUCCACAUCCUAUUUUGCUUUACAGUAGCAUUUGUCAGAGCUGCCAACUCCUGCCAUUUUGAAAUACUUUUUCUCUUGGCUUCAAUGACACAGCAUUUAACUGCUUUUCUUCUAUUAUACUUGCCUUUCUUUCCAACUCAGUCUUGGGGACUUCUUCUCUUUGUUUUUUUCUUUUUGCUUUUUAGGACCGCCCCCACGGCAUGUGGAAGUUCCCAGGCUAGGGGUUGAAUUGGAGCUGCAGCUGCCAGCCUACGCCACAGCCACAGCAAAUUGGGAUCUGAACCAUGUGUGUGACCUAUACCACAGCUCAUGGCAACGCCAGGUCCCCAACCCAGUGAGUGAGGCCAGGGAUUGAACCCACAUCCUCAUGGAUGCUAGUCAGAUUCUUUUCCACUGAGCCACAAUGGGAACUCCUCCUUCUCUUCUAUUAAAACUCUUCAUAGAAUGUCUCAGAGUUUGGUCUUGGGCUUUCUUUUUUUUCUUAAAUCCCAAAGACUCAAAGUCCAUCUAUAUGGAAAACACAAGUCCACACAAAGACUUUUACAUGAAUAGUUAUUGCAGCUUCAUUUACAGUAGCCCCAAAGUGGAAACAACCCCAAAGUCCAUCAGUAGGUAAAUGGAUAAACAAAAUGUGUUAUUUGUACAUGGAAUACUACUCAGCAAUAAAAAAAAUAAUUAAAAAUGUGACAUGGAAGAAUCUCAAGUACAUUAUGCUAAGUGAAAGAAAAUUGACAUAAAAAAGUACACACUUUAUGAUUCUAUUUAUUUAAAAUUUUAGAAAAUGCAAGCAAAUGUAUAAUAACAACAGCAACAAAAAAAAUCCACAUUACUUGAAGCUGGGGUCAGAGGGAGAGAUGAACUGCAAAAGAGCAUGAGGGAAGCUUUGGGGGUGAUGGAAAUGUUCUAUAUCUUUAUUGUAUAGUAGUUUCAUAGUGCACACAUCAGUCCUGAAAUUGAACACAUUAAGGAGCUCCCAUCCUGGCUCAGUGGUAAUGAACCUGACUAUGAUCCAUGAAGAUGUGGGUUCAAUCCCUGGCCCUGCUCAGUGGGUUAAGGAUCUGGCGUUGCCUUGAGCUGUGGUGUAGAUAGCAGACACAGCUCGGAUCUGGUGGCCUCACACAGUUUUGAAUGUAAAAUAGUCUGGAGAUGUGAAUGCAACAAGACUAAUGAAAUCUGUCUUCUGUUACAUUUUAUAGUCAUUAUCCUGUGGUGCCUCACAGCAACAUCAUGGGGGAAUGAUUAUUUUCUCCAUUUUAAAGAUGAGCAAAAUGAGAUGCAGAAAAAUUAGAUAGUUUUCCAAAGUCUGUCUGACUCCAAAGAACUCAGUACUUCUAUCUCAGUUGUUUUCUGAAAGGGAAGAAAUAAAACACAGUUUAUGCAUCUUAGCCUGAGCCAUCAGAGAAACAGGUUUGGAGAAAUUUUGACUAGUCAGUGCCAAAUUUCUGUUUCAUAGGCUACUUGUUCUUGGAGGUUGUGAGAUGCAAAAGGAAAUAUACCUCCUUAGGAGAUUAAGCUGGACACAGCCUGGCCAUCUGCUCUCUUGGCAGGGGCUGACAUAGGCUGCCUUUAUGGAUAAGGGAGAUGGAGCAGGGCAUGUCACUGGCCAACAGUGCUUUUGGCAUUGAGGCAUGGAGGCAGACGGACUCCUAAGCUGACUGAUUACUGUCAACAUCUUAGAGUCCAUGGAAUAGACAUAGUGAAAGUUGUACAUCUUGAAGAAAAGGGAUAAGGUGAAAUUUUUGUUUGUUUGUUUUUGGCGAUACCCAUGUUAUGUGCAGGUUCCCAGGCCAGAGAUCAAAUGCAUGCCACAGCAGUGACCUGAACCACUGCAGUGACAACACUGGAUUCUUAACCUGCUGAGCCACAUGGAAACUCUGAGGUGGAGUUUUGAUAGCAAUAAAGCCCCAGUGGUAGAAGGAGACCCCAUUUUGGCCAGUGUCACUGUGAGGUAUUAUGCUAGGUGCUGUGGUUAGAGCAAUAAACAGAGAGUAUGGUAGGAUAUAAAGAUGUUACUUUUUAAUGUGAAUAUAUAUUUCAUUACAAAUUAUGAUCAACUCCAUGAUGAAAAAGUAGAGUGUUCUUUAAUAGCAUGUAGUGGGGAGAUCUGAGUCUGGGCAUGGAGUGGGUUUUAGGGAAGGCUCUCCUAAUAAAGUGAACAAACCCUUUGGGUUUCUCGUAACAGACUCAGUAGAUUGCUCAUCAAAUACCCACUUCCCUUCCCUUUCCUUCCUUAAAGAACCUCCCUCCUCUCUUAAUAUUUUCAUGUAUGACUAUCCAUGUGCUUCAGGGGAGGUGACCCCAGGAUAUUGGUCUUGAUUUAUGAGUCAAUCAUGGUAGUCUCAGUGCCUUGCCAUUGAUAGGUUAGGGCUUAUGUUACAAUUUUGGCUAAUGAGACAAAAGAGAAGUCUGUUAGAGGGCUUUGGGGAAUGAUUUCCUCCCACUUUACGAGAAAGAGGCUCUUUUUGGUUCUGAAUUUUGUCAUGUCUGACAUUGGGUGCAGUUCACUUGACAAAUCCCACUCACCAAAGGUAGAGCAGGAGAGCAGAAAGAAUCUGGGUUCCUCAUUCACAGCAACAUGGAUGCAACUAGAGAUUCUCAUACUAAGUGAAGUCAGAAGGAGAAAGACAAAUCAUAUGAUAUCACUUAUAUGUGUAAUCUGAAAUAUGGCACAAAUGAACCAAUCUACAAAACAGAAAGAAACUCAUAGACAUAGAGAACAGACUUGUGGUUGCCAAGGGGGAGAGGGGAGGGAGAGAGGUGGACUGAAAGUUUGGGGUUAGUAGAUACAAACUAUUAUAUUUAGAACAGAUAAACAACAAGGCCCUACUGUAUAGCACAGAGAACUAUAUCCAGUCUUCCGGGAUAGACCAUGAUGGAAAA
rnacentral:lncRNA from 1 species